rnacentral:lncRNA from 1 species
GGAAUGAUGGCAGACGCGCAGAAAAAGAAUUGUCCUCAUAAAAUUCCAAUAACAGGAAGCUAUUGUAUUCCAACUAAAUGUUUGGAUAUGUGUAAGAAGCAACAUGGAACUGCUGGUAGUUGUUCGGAAGAAAAAGGAUUUUGUAACUGUGCUUGUAAGUAAGGGUUCUCACUAAGUGUUAUGAAUCUAGUAAUGUUCAACCAAAGUUUUAUAUUAUUUCUUUUAACAAUAAGUCUAAAUGUUUGUCUCUGAUUUGUGGAUCUAUUUAUAAUAAAUAAUAAUUUGAAUGUUCAAUAAAUACAAAUGUGUAAAACAAGAGUGGACUAUUAAUAAAAUAUAUGAUCAUAUUAAUGUUAGAAGUAACCAUUAUUAUGUGUAAAAUCAAAAGCUUAACGCGAGUUAAAAAGAUAGAGAUGAAAUUACAACCAAUAUUUAAAUGUGAGAUAAUGAACUAACAUGUAAUUUUGUACACAUUGUAAAAAAAGAAAAAAAAAAGCAAGAGUCGAUUAUCAAACAAGAAAAUGUUAGAAAUAGCAACAGAUCAUGCAAAAGCAGUCCAUAUUAGAAUUGGCUUGACAGAUGGGUUGCAGACAUGCCAUGGGAGGGAAAAUUGAUAGCACUAUUUCUGAACAUGACAAAGCUCUGGCCAGGAAGAACAAUCUCACAACCAGUGUUUUGGGUAGACCUCCUCCAAUGUCAUCAUCAGCUACGAGUUCUGAGGCUUCAUCCACAUCUCAGUCCCCAAUUCCCUUCUCAGGAAGUUUUCUUUAGGAAGAAGAUUAUUACAGAAAGCCAAGUUACAUGAGCCUGACACAAUCUAUCAAAGCUAAGAAGAGACGAUCAACAAAUAUUCUUCAUCUUCUUGUUCCAAAAUCACUGUUUGAGAAGAAACAGUCCAUGCCUUACAACGAAGAUGUGAAUGUAAAGGGUUGUGCAUGUUCGGAUCCAUCUUGCAACAAGUGGAGUGAUCUAUAUCCACAUGCUCAAGUAACAAGGAGAAAUAUGUGGGCAAAGAAGCUAAAGUAAACAUCGUUUCAUUGAAUCAUUAAAGCAUUUCAAUACCUUGAUGGUUAUAAAAACACACAAAACACUGAUUUAUAGAUUCAUAAGCAACUUCUAUGUAUGUUUUUUUAAAUAUGAGUUAGUAUGAAGACUGCUGCAAUGUUGUUGUUUGGCCACUUUUAAUAUUUAAUAGUUAACUUCUAAUGCUUCUAAGAUAAUAUGUUCCUCCCAUCUCUUGAAAAUAUGAAACCAAGAGCAAAGUUUCAUCUUUAGACAUGAAAGGCCAAUUAAUAGACCAAAUAACAUAUUUUAGACCAAAUCUUCCUAAUAAAAUUUUAUUCUCACGAUCUAAAUCUAAAAUUGAAUUCAGUUCAUCUAUCUGGUUAUUAUAUUGUUUUCAUUUUUCAUCCUUUUAUUGAAUUAAUUAUUUUUUUUAAUUAAAUACUUACUAUUUUUAAUAUAAUCUUAUAAAUUAUGUUACGUAUGAGACAUUCACCUAAUAAACUAUAAAUUUAAAUAGUAAUGUUUGAAAAGGAUUUUAUUGACAUUCCUGUAAAUAAAUUCGUAAUUCUAAAAAUAACAGUAACUUUUUGAAAACAUCAAAAUUAUGUACACGCAUAGGACACAUACCUUUUUAUUUACUUAUAGGAAAAUGAACGAGUGUAAAGCUUCCACAUGUUAUAUGAGCAAAACAUGGAUUUUUCUAAAUUAGAUUCGUUUAAAUCGGAACAUAUUAAUGUGAGUUUCUUAAAUUAGAUUUUUAAUAUGUAUAUAUAUGUAAGAAGACUUCUUGUGUUUUAUAAAAAUAGAAUAAUUCAUCUCUUCCCUAAAUUUUUAAGUCAGUAUCAAUCAAUUUCUAUAAUCCAAGAUGAAGAAAUCCCUUCAACUCUCGUUUACGUUUUUAAUUAUCUUCAUCAUUCUUUCACAAGGUUUUUAUUUACAUCUUAAUAUAUUGCAUAUAGUAAUUCUAUAAUAAUUGAUUAUCCUACAAUUUUUACUUUUAAUAUAUUGAAAAUCCCAUAUAAUAAUUUUUGUUCACUAUAUAUAAUAUAGCAUUAAACUAUCUCUUUUGUGUAAAAUUCAUAAAUUUCCAGAAGGCUAGAAAAUAGGGUCAGAAAGUUUUGCGUUAAAAUUGAAAGGAUCAUUCACGAAGUAUUUAGGAGUUUUUUAUACUUUAGUCCAUUUAUAUAUAUUUUUAAUGUAUGGGUUUAUAUGUGAUGAAGAACUACAAUGAUAAAAUAAUAUUAAAUAGUUUCAUUUUUUAUCAUAUGUUUAUGAACAUUUUGUCCUGCAUAUACAAAUGAUUUAACCAACAUUUUCAUAAUAUGGAUGAACUAUAGUUCUUAUGUAAAUUUAUGUGAUAUUUUUAAUUAGAUUUAUAUAUUUUACAGGUAAUAUGUUAUGUUUUUCAAUACAUACUGUAGUUGUUCUUAAAACAUCAAAAUUUUAUGUGUAAUGUUUAUUAAUGUGCCCACAAUUCUUAAAACCAUAUUUUCACAAAAUAAAAAAGCUUUUGUUGAUAAAUAAGUUUUAUAUUUCAGAAAAACUAUAUAUAUUUUCUAACAAUUAAAAUUUGAGAUUUUUAUAUCUUACAGGAAUGAUGGCAGACGCGCAGAAAAAGAAUUGUCCACAUAAAAUUCCAAUAACAGGAAGCUAUUGUAUUCCAACUAAAUGUUUGGAUAUGUGUAAGAAGCAACAUGGAACUACUGGUAGUUGUUCGGAAGAAAAAGGAUUUUGUAACUGCGCUUGUAAGUAAGGGUUCUCACUAAGUGUUAUGAAUCUAGUAAUGUCCAACCAAAGUUUUAUAUUAUUUCUUUUAACAAUAAGUCUAAAUGUUUGUAUCUGAUUUGUGGAUCUCUUUAUAAUAAAUAAUAAUUUGAAUGUUCAAUAAAUACAAAUGUGUAAAACAAGAGUGGACUAUUAAUAAAAUAUAUGAUCAUAUUAAUGUUAGAAGUAACCAUUGUUAUGUGUAAAAUCAAAAGCUUAAGACGAGUUAAAAAGAUAGAGAUGAAAUCACAACCAAUAUUUAAAUGUGAGAUAAUGAACUAACAUGUAAUUUUGUACACAUUGUAAAAAAAAAAAAAAAAGCAAGAGUUGAUUAUCAAACAAGAAAAUGUUAGAAAGAGCAAAAGAUCAUGCAAAAGCAGUCCAUAUUAGAAUUGGCUUGACAGAUGGGUUGCAGACAUGCCAUGGGAGGGAAAAUUGAUAGCACUAUUUCUGAACAUGACAAAGCUCUCGCCAGGAAGAACAAUCUCACAACCAGAGUUUUGGGUAGACCUCCUUCAAUGUCAUCAUCAGCUACGAGUUCUGAGGCUUCAUCCACAUCUCAGUCCCCAAUUCCCUUCUCAUGAAGUUUCCUUUAGGAAGAAGAUUAUUACAGAAAGCCAAGUUACAUGAGCUUGACACAAUCUAUCAAAGCUAAGAAGAGACGAUCAACAAAUAUUCUUCAUCUUCUUGUUCCAAAAUCACUGUUUGAGAAGAAACAGUCCAUGCCUUACAACGAAGAUGUGAAUGUAAAGGGUUGUGCAUGUUCGGAUCCAUCUUGCAACAAGUGGAGUGAUCUAUAUCCACAUGCUCAAGUAACAAGGAGAAAUAUGUAGGCAAAGAAGCUAAAGUAAACAUCGUUUCAUUGAAUCAUUAAAGUAUUUCAACACCUUGAUCGUUCUAAAACACACACAAAACACUGAUUUAUAGAUUCAUAAGCAACUUCUAUGUAUGUUUUUUUAAAAUAUGAGUUAGUAUGAAGACUGCUGCAAUGUUGUUCUUUGGCCACUUUUAAUAUUUAAUAGUUAACUUCUAAUGCUUCUAAGAUAAUAUGUUCCUCCCAUCUCUUGAAAAUAUGAAACCAAGAGCAAAGUUUCAUCUUUAGACAUGAAAGGCCAAUUAAUAGACCAAAUAACAUAGUUUAGACCAAAUCUUCCUAAUAAAAUUUUAUUCUCACGAUCUAAAUCUAAAAUUGAAUUCAGUUCAUCUAUCUGGUUAUUAUAUUGUUUUCAUUUUUCAUCCUUUUAUUGAAUUAAUUAAUUUUUUUAAUUAAAUACUUACUAUUUUUAAUAUAAUCUUAUAAAUUAUGUUACGUAUGAGACAUUCACCUAAUAAACUAUAAAUUUAAAUAGUAAUGUUUGAAAAGGAUUUUAUUGACAUUCCUGUAAAUAAAUUCGUAAUUCGAAAAAUAGCAGUAACUUUUUGAAAACAUCAAAAUUAUGUACACGCAUAGGACACAUACCUUUUUAUUUACUUAUAGGAAAAUGAACGACUGUAAAGCUUUCACAUGUUAUAUGAGCAAAACAUGGAUUUUUCUAAAUUAGAUUCGUUUAAAUCGGAACAUAUUAAUGUGAGUUUCUUAAAUUAGAUUUUUAAUAUGUAUAUAUAUGUAAGAAGACUUCUUGUGUUUUAUAAAAAUAGAAUAAUUCAUCUCUUCCCUAAAUUUUUAAGUCAGUAGCAAUCAAUUUCUAUAAUCCAAGAUGAAGAAAUCCCUUCAACUCUCGUUUACGUUUUUAAUUAUCUUCAUCAUUCUUUCACAAGGUUUUUAUUUACAUCUUAAUAUAUUGCAUAUAGUAAUUCUAUAAUAAUUGAUUAUCCUACAAUUUUUACUUUUAAUAUAUUGAAAAUCCCAUAUAAUAAUUUUUGUUCACUAUAUAUAAUAUAGCAUUAAACUAUCUCUUUUGUGUAAAAUUCAUAAAUUUCCAGAAGGCUAGAAAAUAGGGUCAGAAAGUUUUGCGUUAAAAUUGAAAGGAUCAUUCACGAAGUAUUUAGGAGUUUUUUAUACUUUAGUCCAUUUAUAUAUAUUUUUAAUGUAUGGGUUUAUAUGUGAUGAAGAACUACAAUGAUAAAAUAAUAUUAAAUAGUUUCAUUUUUUAUCAUAUGUUUAUGAACAUUUUGUCCUGCAUAUACAAAUGAUUUAACCAACAUUUUCAUAAUAUGGAUGAACUAUAGUUCUUAUGUAAAUUUAUGUGAUAUUUUUAAUUAGAUUUAUAUAUUUUACAGGUAAUAUGUUAUGUUUUUCAAUACAUACUGUAGUUGUUCUUAAAACAUCAAAAUUUUAUGUGUAAUGUUUAUUAAUGUGCCCACAAUUCUUAAAACCAUAUUUUCACAAAAUAAAAAAGCUUUUGUUGAUAAAUAAGUUUUAUAUUUCAGAAAAACUAUAUAUAUUUUCUAACAAUUAAAAUUUGAGAUUUUUAUAUCUUACAGGAAUGAUGGCAGACGCGCAGAAAAAGAAUUGUCCUCAUAAAAUUCCAAUAACAGGAAGCUAUUGUAUUCCAACUAAAUGUUUGGAUAUGUGUAAGAAGCAACAUGGAACUACUGGUAGUUGUUCGGAAGAAAAAGGAUUUUGUAACUGCGCUUGUAAGUAAGGGUUCUCACUAAGUGUUAUGAAUCUAGUAAUGUCCAACCAAAGUUUUAUAUUAUUUCUUUUAACAAUAAGUCUAAAUGUUUGUAUCUGAUUUGUGGAUCUAUUUAUAAUAAAUAAUAAUUUGAAUGUUCAAUAAAUACAAAUGUGUAAAACAAGAGUGGACUAUUAAUAAAAUAUAUGAUCAUAUUAAUGUUAGAAGUAACCAUUGUUAUGUGUAAAAUCAAAAGCUUAAGACGAGUUAAAAAGAUAGAGAUGAAAUCACAACCAAUAUUUAAAUGUGAGAUAAUGAACUAACAUGUAAUUUUGUACACAUUGUAAAAAAGAAAAAAAAAAGCAAGAGUUGAUUAUCAAACAAGAAAAUGUUAGAAAGAGCAAAAGAUCAUGCAAAAGCAGUCCAUAUUAGAAUUGGCUUGACAGAUGGGUUGCAGACAUGCCAUGGGAGGGAAAAUUGAUAGCACUAUUUCUGAACAUGACAAAGCUCUCGCCAGGAAGAACAAUCUCACAACCAGAGUUUUGGGUAGACCUCCUUCAAUGUCAUCAUCAGCUACGAGUUCUGAGGCUUCAUCCACAUCUCAG